AGCGGCGGACGGGUUAGUAACGCGUGGGAACGUGCCCUUCACUAUGGAAUAGCCUCUGGAAACGGAGAUUAAUGCCGUAUACGCCCUUCGGGGGAAAGAUUUAUCGGUGAAGGAUCGGCCCGCGUCUGAUUAGAUAGUUGGUGGGGUAAUGGCCUACCAAGUCUACGAUCAGUAGCUGGUUUGAGAGGAUGAUCAGCAACACUGGGACUGAGACACGGCCCAGACUCCUACGGGAGGCAGCAGUGGGGAAUCUUAGACAAUGGGCGCAAGCCUGAUCUAGCCAUGCCGCGUGAGUGAUGAAGGUCUUAGGAUCGUAAAGCUCUUUCGCCAGGGAUGAUAAUGACAGUACCUGGUAAAGAAACCCCGGCUAACUCCGUGCCAGCAGCCGCGGUAAUACGGAGGGGGUUAGCGUUGUUCGGAAUUACUGGGCGUAAAGCGCGCGU
rnacentral:rRNA from 1 species